rnacentral:rRNA from 1 species
GACGAACGCUGGCGGCGUGCUUAACACAUGCAAGUCGAACGGAAAGGCCCUGCUUUUGUGGGGUGCUCGAGUGGCGAACGGGUGAGUAACACGUGAGUAACCUGCCCUUGACUUUGGGAUAACUUCAGGAAACUGGGGCUAAUACCGGAUAGGAGCUCCUGCUGCAUGGUGGGGGUUGGAAAGUUUCGGCGGUUGGGGAUGGACUCGCGGCUUAUCAGCUUGUUGGUGGGGUAGUGGCUUACCAAGGCUUUGACGGGUAGCCGGCCUGAGAGGGUGACCGGCCACAUUGGGACUGAGAGACGGCCCAGACUCCUACGGGAGGCAGCAGUGGGGAAUAUUGCACAAUGGGCGGAAGCCUGAUGAAGAAACGCCGCGUGCGGGAUGACGGCCUUCGGGUUGUAAACCGAUUUCGCAUGUGACGAAGCGUGAGUGACGGUAAUGGGUAAAGAAGCACCGGCUAACUACGUG